rnacentral:rRNA from 1 species
GAUGAACGCUGGCGGCGUGCCUAAUACAUGCAAGUCGAGCGAACAGACGAGAGUGCUUGCACUCUCUGACGUUAGCGGCGGACGGGUGAGUAACACGUGGGUAACCUACCUAUAAGACUGGGAUAACUUCGGGAAACCGGAGCUAAUACCGGAUAAUAUUUAGCUUCGCAUGAAGCAAUAGUGAAAGACGGUUCUGCUGUCACUUAUAGAUGGACCCGCGGUGUAUUAGCUAGUUGGUGAGGUAACGGCUCACCAAGGCAACGAUACAUAGCCGACCUGAGAGGGUGAUCGGCAACACUGGGACUGAGACACGGCCCAGACUCCUACGGGAGGCAGCAGUAGGGAAUCUUCCGCAAUGGACGAAAGUCUGACGGAGCAAUGCCGCGUGAGUGAAGAAGGUUUUCGGAUCGUAAAACUCUGUUGUAAGGGAAGAACAAGUACGUUAGUAACUGAACGUACCUUGACGGUACCUUACCAGAAAGCCACGGCUAACUACGUG